UUCGGCCCACAUAAUUUACGUCCCAAGACGAUUCGUCAAUAUAUAUAACUAUGUUUAUAUUUUAGUGAUAGUAUAAUACAGUGUUAAUUAGUUUGAAAAAAAUACAUUAUUAUUAAGUUAAAUAACAAAUUUGAGUGUUAAACUUUAAAGUUUAAUAGUCGUAAAUUUAUGGGGAAUAAUAAAUCUAUUUCUAUUUUAUUAUGUAUUAUUUUAUAUUCUAGAUCCUGGUCCUGGUUGAAAUUUAGAGUAUUACAGAUGUAGCCUUUAUACCAUACAUUCAACAUGAAAAGGACUGUCAGGAUGCUGCAUAAAAUGGUCUUGGCAAGAGCCUAGAAUGUUAAUUUCUUGGGAAUAUGCUGCAAGGAACUGACGGGGAGCAGUUUUUCUUACCAACCAUAGGAGCAGUAAUUUAAGAGACAGCCAAAGAAGUACUCAAACACUUGACAUACCCAGAAAGAUCUAGAAGAAAUGAUUGGAACAGAUUGUAGUUUAAUUGUUAAAACUAUUAAAGUGAAUUUAAGCUGCACUUGAACUGUAUUUUUGAAAUAAAAUAUCUGAAGUAUUUAAUAUUGUCUUGAUAUUUUGUUAAACUUGGUUACUUUGCUUUAU